rnacentral:rRNA from 1 species
UACGGAGGGUGCAAGCGUUAAUCGGAAUUACUGGGCGUAAAGCGCGCGUAGGCGGUUUGGUCAGUUGGAUGUGAAAGCCCCGGGCUUAACCUGGGAACUGCAUUCAAUACUGCCAGACUAGAGUACGAGAGGGGGGUAGAAUUUCUAGUGUAGCGGUGAAAUGCGUAGAUAUUAGAAGGAAUACCGGUGGCGAAGGCGGCCCCCUGGCUCGAUACUGACGCUGAGGUGCGAAAGCGUGAGGAGCAAACAGG